CGAUCCUAAGGUCAGUCGUAAGUCGAGCUGAUCGAAAGGGAAACAGGUUAAUAUUCCUGUACAUGGUUGAUACGUGCGGUGACGCGUGGACUAGUUUCUGACGCUUUGAGAUAGGUUUUGUGUGAUUGUCGUCAUAUUUAAGUGUUUAAGCCUGGGGAGAGGUGUAAUAGCGAGAACCAGGUGUAGGCUUGAAGAGCUGCUUGUUUGUACGGUUUAACUGAUUCAUGGAGUCCUUGAAAAGGGAAUUGGUUUUAGAUUUCACUAUUUCGUACCGAGAUCCGUCACAGGUGCCCCUAGCUGAGUAGGCUAAGGCGUUUUAAGGUAAACUAGCUAAGGGAAAUCGGCAAAAUAGCCCCGUAACUUUGGGAUAAGGGGUGCCAGCUAUGUGAAUAGCUGGUCUCAGUGACUAGGGGGGCCCGACG
rnacentral:rRNA from 1 species